rnacentral:rRNA from 1 species
CCUACGGGAGGCAGCAGUAAGGAAUAUUGGUCAAUGGAGGCAACUCUGAACCAGCCAUGCCGCGUGCAGGAUGAAGGCCCUAUGGGUCGUAAACUGCUUUUGUACCAGAGAAAACCCGAGUACGUGUACUCGGUUGAUAGUAUGGUAAGAAUAAGCAUCGGCUAACUUCGUGCCAGCAGCCGCGGUAAGACGAAGGAUGCAAGCGUUAUCCGGAUUCAUUGGGUUUAAAGGGUGCGUAGGCGGACUGAUAAGUCAGUGGUGAAAUCUCUCGGCUUAACCGAGAAACUGCCAUUGAUACUGUCAGUCUAGAGUACAGAUGAUGUGGGCGGAAUAUGACAUGUAGCGGUGAAAUGCUUAGAUAUGUCAUAGAACACCGAUUGCGAAGGCAGCUCACAAACGUACGUAACGUAACGUACGACCGUCGUAGGACGGACCGAAAACGGUAAAGGUCGGGGGACGGGGUACUAAACCAAAACGGAAGGUUAAGUUAAGUAACCCUUACCCGGUUAGGGUACCGUCCGACCCGUAAACCGGUAAACGUAGAUUACUUACGUUCGUUUGGUUCGUAUAAUAGUACCGUACCGACGACGACCGAACGACGAAACGAACGGAGUAAGUAAAGUUAACAACCCUCCGGGAGGUACGGACCGGCCGGACCGGUACGGAAACGUUAAAACGUUAAGUAAAGUUAAGGUUACGUUGGAGAGAGCGACGACGACGACGACGGAGGGAGGAGG